rnacentral:piRNA from 1 species
UGCAAAGACGCCCACUUGGAAGUGUGACUG